rnacentral:sRNA from 1 species
UUGUAGCCCUGAUGGAAGUGGAAAGCCUUUUGUAAUAAAAUUGAUUUUUUUCCUGGACAAAAAGAGCGACCAACGGAAGCUCCUUUUUGUCCUUGGAAAAAACAAUUUUAUAAAAAAGCUUGUAACGUACAGCAGGAAAUUGC